UGUCCGGUAAUUGGAAUGAGUACAAUUUAAAUCCCUUAACGAGGAACAAUUGGAGGGCAGGUCUGGUGCCAGCAGCCGCGGUAAUUCCAGCUCCAAUAGCGUAUAUUAAAGUUGUUGCAGUUAAAAAGCUCGUAGUUGGAUUUCUGGUAUGAUGCGUUUGUCCCGGCUAGCAAUAGAUCGUGUGACUUUGCGCGUCUACCAUCCUUCGCUUCAGAUGUGCUGACGUGUAAAAGCGUUAGCAGCUGUUGUGAUCUUUUACUUUGAAAAAAUUAGAGUGUUUAAAGCAGGCUUGUGCCUUGAAUACAUUAGCAUGGAAUAAUAAUAUAGGACUGGGUUCCUAUUUUGUUGGUUUUCUGGAAUCAAGUAAUGAUUGAUAGGGAUAGUUGGGGGUGCUAGUAUUCAGCGGCCAGAGGUGAAAUUCUUUGAUUCGCUGAAGACUAACUUAUGCGAAAGCAUUCACCAAGGAUGUCUUCUUUAAUCAAGAACGAAAGUUGGGGGAUCGAAGACGAUCAGAUACCGUCGUAGUCUCAACCAUAAACUAUACCGACUAGGGAUUAGCGGAAGUUGCUUUUCGACUCCGUUAGCACCUUAUGAGAAAUCAUAAGUCCUUGGGUUCUGGGGGGAGUAUGGUCGCAAGGCUGAAACUUAAAGGAAUUGACGGAAGGGCACCACCAGGAGUGGAGCCUGCGGCUUAAUUUGACACAACACGGGGAAACUUACCAGGUCCAGACACAGGGAGGAUUGACAGACUGAAGUUCUUUCUUGAUUCUGUGGGUGGUGGUGCAUGGCCGUUCUUAGUUGGUGGAGUGAUUUGUCUGGUUUAUUCCGUUAACGAACGAGACCUCGACCUGCUAAAUAGUAUGAGGUACUCCGGUACCUACGUGCUUCUUAGAGGGACUGACGGUGGUGAGCCGUAGGAAGUUCGAGGCAAUAACAGGUCUGUGAUGCCCUUAGAUGUUCUGGGCCGCACGCGCGCUACACUGAUACGUUCAUCGAGCAUACAACCUGGGUUGAGAGACUUGGGUAAUCUUUUCAAAGCGUAUCGUGCUGGGGAUAGAUCAUUGUAAUUAUUGAUCUUCAACGAGGAAUUCCUAGUAAGCGCGAGUCAUCAGCUCGCACUGAUUACGUCCCUGCCCUUUGUACACACCGCCCGUCGCUGCUACCGAUUGAAUGCAUUAGUGAGCUCCACGGACCGCUGUAUUUGUUCGCAAGGGCUUUUAUGGUGGAAUGUGGCGCAAACUUGCGCAUUUAGAGGAAGCAAAAGUCGU
rnacentral:rRNA from 1 species